AUACGGAGGAUGCAAGCGUUAUCCGGAUUUAUUGGGUUUAAAGGGUGCGUAGGCGGUUUGCUAAGCGGGAGGUGAAAUGCCGGCGCUCAACGUCGGAAGUGCCUCCCGAACUGGUGGACUGGAAUGACUCUGCCGUGGGAGGAAUGUGUAGUGUAGCGGUGAAAUGCUUAGAGAUUACACAGAACACCGAUUGCGAAGGCAUCUCACGAAGGGUUGAUUGACGCUGAGGCACGAAAGCGUGGGGAUCAAACUGGAUUAGAUACCCUGGUAGUCCACGCAGUAAACGAUGAUGGCUAACCGCUGGUUUAUUCGGAUCAGUGGCCAAGCGAAAGCGAUAAGCCAUCCACCUGGGGAGUACGACCGCAAGGUUGAAACUCAAAGGAAUUGACGGGG
rnacentral:rRNA from 1 species